rnacentral:rRNA from 1 species
GAUCAUGGCUCAGGAUGAACGCUAGCGGCAGGCUUAACACAUGCAAGUCGAGGGGCAGCAUAAUGGAUAGCAAUAUCUAUGGUGGCGACCGGCGCACGGGUGCGUAACGCGUAUGCAACCUACCUUUAACAGGGGGAUAACACUGAGAAAUUGGUACUAAUACCCCAUAAUAUCAUAGAGGGCAUCUUUUANGGUUGAAAAUUCCGAUGGUUAGAGAUGGGCAUGCGUUGG